rnacentral:lncRNA from 1 species
GGCCGGGCUCGGAGGCUCGCGGCCGGAGCGGAGCGGAGUGCGCACGCCGGGGUGGCAGGACUUCGGCAAGACCAACUUUCCGUGGUCCUGUCUGGUGUGAACCGUCAGCACAGAUGGCCUCCUGGAGCUUCCCCGAGUCGUUCGCUGGGGGAAGCGGGCGGUGAGCGGCCAGCCCGGGCGCUCCGCAGGCCGCGAGCUCCCGGCAGGGCUGGUGGCGGGGGUCCGCCUGGGGGAGGAAUCCCCGCCUGCUCCAUCGGACCCGGCCUGGCGCGGCUCGCGGCGCUCGGCGGGCUCCCUUCCAUUCUAGAAUCUUCCCGCUUGCUUCCCAGCCCGCGUUCUUCCGCCUGCCUUUAAUUGUAAGCAGACACAGGUUCCCACGGCGUCUGACGCCUGCGGAGCAAGUCCAGAGCCAGCUGGACUCGCAGCCUCUGGCCCGGCGGCACCAACUCCUCACUGGGUCAUUUUGAGCGCGCUGUGCCCACCUUUUCUGUUGCGUGUGGACGUGGGGAGGAUCUUCUAAGUCCCUCCAACGAAGGCAAGUGUGAGACUCUGGCCCUUUAUUUGUAAGAAGCAAGCCUUCAGAUUGCAGAAGUGUCGCGCGGGUCGCCGUGCGUUGCGCGAGUGGGAAGAUGGAGGAGGCCGGCACGCUGCUUUCGUGGACGCAAGUGAACCGGGCGUGAAGGCAGGGUGCGAGCUCUGCCCUUGGCCCAGCCCUGCGUGGGCGCCGUCCCAGAUUCCGGGCGGUGCGGGGUGCAGAGAUCUGGAGAGACUUGCGGGCUCCCCAGCGCAGGCUGCUCUGGGAUUUCGUUGGAAGAUCCGGCAGAGCCUUGGAGGAGAGGGCCCGGGAGGCUGUGUGUGCAGCGGAAACUUGUACGAAUGCCCCCACAGCGGAAAUGGUGCGCACGAGUAAUUUCUGCGGUGCACCCUUUUAAAAAUUGACAAGUGAACAAGAUCAAUUUUUUAAGAAAGCAAAGGUAGAAAACAAAAGGCGUGCGACUUCUUGACUGGCUUGUUCCCGCCUUUCUUCCUUCUCUAUACUCAGAUCAGAAACUUUUCUUUAAUUGCUCUUAUUCAGUGCGACAACUUUUAAUAAAAGCAUUUGCAUUUUAAGCCUGAGUUGCAACCAUAGAUUUAUUGCGAAGUGACAACGUGUCUAUGGAAUAUUUUCGCAGAUGAGACAGGACAUGCGCUCUAGUCGUGCCCAGAUUAAAGCGACGCUGGGCCAUGUGCCUGUGUAGUGCAGACUCGGAGGGGCACACACAUACUCGUCACCACAUGACCACUGUCUAUUAAUAUUGUCAUACCUAAACACUCGCAAAAACAAAAGUUGCUUUUCUUCCCUGUAAUUAAAUCUAAUUUG